CAGUAGCCGCGGUAAUACGUAGGUGGCAAGCGUUGUCCGGAAUUAUUGGGCGUAAAGGGCUCGCAGGCGGUUUCUUAAGUCUGAUGUGAAAGCCCCCGGCUCAACCGGGGAGGGUCAUUGGAAACUGGGAAACUUGAGUGCAGAAGAGGAGAGUGGAAUUCCACGUGUAGCGGUGAAAUGCGUAGAGAUGUGGAGGAACACCAGUGGCGAAGGCGACUCUCUGGUCUGUAACUGACGCUGAGGAGCGAGAGCGUGGGGAGCGAACAGGAUUAGAGACCCGAGUAGUCCCUGUCUCUUAUAC
rnacentral:rRNA from 1 species